rnacentral:lncRNA from 1 species
UCUGGGGGUACUUACCUGAUCGCCGUCGUUCCCCCGGCGGUGAUCAGUGUUGCUCUGGUUGUGGGGAGACUGCCUGCAGCCCAGACAGUCUCCCCACACUGAUUUAGGACCCCUGUGGCCAUGUGAUCGCUUAACACAGCGAUCACAUGGUCACAAUAGGUGUCCAUAGUGCUGCCUGCAGGGGGACUGCCUGUGCUGACAGGCAGUCUCCCUGC